rnacentral:rRNA from 1 species
UACAGAGGGGGCAAGCGUUGUUCGGAAUUACUGGGCGUAAAGGGCGCGUAGGCGGCCUCUUAAGUCGAACGUGAAAUCCCCGGGCUCAACCCGGGAACUGCGUCCGAUACUGGGAGGCUUGAAUCCGGGAGAGGGAUGUGGAAUUCCAGGUGUAGCGGUGAAAUGCGUAGAUAUCAGGAGGAACACCGGUGGCGAAGGCGGCGCUCUGGGCCGGUACUGACACUGAGGAGCGAAAGCGUGGGGAGCAAACAGG